rnacentral:rRNA from 1 species
UACAUGGGGUGCAAACGUUGCUCGGAAUUAUUGGGCGUAAAGCGCACGUAGGCGGUUCGUUAAGUCGGAUGUGAAAGCCCUCGGCUCAACUGAGGAAGUGCACCCGAAACUGGCGAGCUUGAGUACGAAAGAGGAUCGCGGAAUUCCCGGUGUAGAGGUGAAAUUCGUAGAUAUCGGGAGGAACACCGGUGGCGAAGGCGGCUAUCUGGCACACAACUGACGCUGAGGCGCGAAAGCGUGGGGAUCAAACAGG